rnacentral:piRNA from 1 species
UAUUAACCACAAAAUGUGAGGUUGGUGUC